rnacentral:rRNA from 1 species
AGCGAACGUUUGCGGCGGGCUUAACACAUGCAAGUCGAACGAGAAUCCCUUCGGGGAGGAAAGUGGCGCACGGGUGCGUAACACGUGGAUAACCAACCCAUUGGUUUGGGACAACACCGGGAAACUGGUGCUAAUACCAGAUGUGUCGCAGCUGUCUUCAGGCGGUUGCGAGAAAGGCCCGCAAGGGUCGCCAACGGACGGGUCCGCGUCCCAUCAGCUAGUUGGUGAGGUAAUGGCUCACCAAGGCAAAGACGGGUAGCUGGUCUGAGAGGAUGAUCAGCCACACUGGAACUGAGACACGGUCCAGACUCCUACGGGAGGCAGCAGUGGGGAAUAUUGCGCAAUGGGCGAAAGCCUGACGCAGCCACGCCGCGUGAGCGAUGAAGGUCUUCGGAUCGUAAAGCUCUGUGGGGGGAGAAGAAUAAAGCCGGUGAAGAGCCGGCCCUGACGGUAUCCCCUUAGCAAGCACCGGCUAACUCCGUGCCAGCAGCCGCGGUAAUGU